AGGCCUCAUCUAGCCCAACCAACACUCAAUCAACAAUUAAAAAAUUAUUGCAAGCCUCUAACUAAAACAUUCUAACAACUUAGUAUAGGCGAUAGAAAAGAACUACUUGGCGCUAUAGCAAGUCCGUACCGUAAGGGAAAGAUGAAAUAAUAAUGAAAACCUCAAGCCAGAAAUAGCAAAGACCAAUCCUUGUACCUUUUGCAUCAUGAUUUAGCAAGAACAACCAAGCAAAAUGAAUUUCAGCUUGCCCCCCCGAAACCCAAGCGAGCUACUUACAAGCAGCUAUUUAGAGCGAACCCGUCUCUGUUGCAAAAGAGUGGGACGACUUGUUAGUAGAGGUGAAAAGCCAACCGAGCUGGGUGAUAGCUGGUUGCCCGUGAAAUGAAUUUAAGUUCACCCUUGGUUCUCCCCUAACGGACAUUUACCCACCUACAUUGUAGCCAACCAAGAGCAACUUAAAGGAGGUACAGCUCCUUUAAAAAAGAAUACAACCUCCCCUAGCGGAUAAACUCCAUAUUGCCUAAACCUGUGGGCCUUUAAGCAGCCACCAACAAAGAAUGCGUCAAAGCUCUUUUAUUAAAAACAUACGAACAACAUGACUCCCUCUGCCUUAACGGGCCAACCUAUGCCAAUAGAAGAAUUAAUGCUAAAAUGAGUAACUUGGGACCACUCAUCCCUCUAUCAGCGCAAGCUUACAUCUAUACAUUAUUAACAGACAUAAAAUACUCAAACCUAAACAAGAACAUGUAUCCAUUAAACCUGUUGACCCCACUCAGGAGCGCUUACCAGAAAGAUUAAAAUCUACAAAAGGAACUAGGCAAACCCGAGGCCCGACUGUUUACCAAAAACAUAGCCUUCAGCUAAACAAGUAUUGAAGGUGAUGCCUGCCCAGUGACAUCACGUUUAACGGCCGCGGUAUCCUAACCGUGCGAAGGUAGCGCAAUCAAUUGUCCCAUAAAUCGAGACUUGUAUGAACGGCUAAACGAGGUCUCAACUGUCUCUUGUAGAUAAUCAGUGAAAUUGAUCUCCUCGUGAAAAAGCGAGGAUAAUAACAUAAGACGAGAAGACCCUGUGGAACUUAAAAAUCAACAGUCACCUCUUCAACACAAAACCUGCUAGGCCCACCAACCCAGGGAGUGCUGACUGACAUUUUUUGGUUGGGGCGACCUUGGAGAACAGCAAAACCUCCAAACAAAAGACCACACAUCUUAACUAAGUGCCACCCCUCAAAGUACUAACAGUAACCAGACCCAGUACAUACCUGAUCAAUGAACCAAGCUACCCCAGGGAUAACAGCGCAAUCCCCUCCAAGAGCCCUUAUCGACGAGGGGGAUUACGACCUCGAUGUUGGAUCAGGACAUCCUAAUGGUGCAGCCGCUAUUAAGGGUUCGUUUGUUCAACGAUUAACAGUCCUACGUGAUCUGAGUUCAGACCGGAGCAAUCCAGGUCGGUUUCUAUCUAUGAAUGACUCUUCCCAGUACGAAAGGACAGGAAAAGUGGGGCCAAUGCAACAAGUAUGCCUCUCUCCCAAGUAAUGAACCCAACUGAAUUACAAAGAGACACCCAAACUACCCCAUCCUAGAAAAGGAUUG
rnacentral:rRNA from 1 species